AUGUUGUGUUUUAGGUUUUGAAUUUAGUUUGCUAAUUCUCAUGGUUUAGUGUUAUACAUUGAGGAGAUUGAUGGAAAAAAAAGGUGUGUGGAUUUCUUGUUUUAGUGAUUGAAGAAAUUUGUGUCAUGGAAGAGAGGGAAGAGUGUAAUGUUAGCACCAAGAGUGGAGGGGAAUGAGAUGAGAAAUGCUUGCUUUUCUUUCUAUCAUUGUUAGUCAUCCAAUUUGGAAUGACAUUCAAAACUGGAACUACCUGAAAUAGUCACCAAUAUGUGCAAGGAAAGAAGAAGAAGAAGAAGAAGAAGAAGAAGAAGAAGAAGAAGAAGGAAAUGAAGCCAUUUUACUUUUGUUUGCUCUUGGCAGUUCAAUUCUGAUUCACCUAUAGGGUCUAGGAAUGUUUUGAAUGCUUGAAUCCUUUUUUCAUUCAACAAGUUUAAGAAGAAAUAGGGAAGACCCAUGGCUCAAACCAUAUGCAGAAGAGUUUCAUGGCAUGAAAGAGUGCAAAGUGGGGGAAGCAAUCACUACGAGAUAUGAAGAUAUUACAAAUACAUUGGAUCAAGUAAUGAUCACAGAACACCAUUCUUGGUAGUGAAUCAAAUUUUUAAUUGAUUUGUUGUGACUUCUUUUCUUUCUUAUUUCCAUCUGUCUCACUCAAGGAGUUUCCUCCACGGUGUGGUUUAUUUCCUUCAAGAUGUAGGAAACCGUAUCAAGAGUAUGUCUGAUUUUUUUAGGCCUACGGCUAAAAACUAAAAUGAAGAUAUUGCAUAAACCAAGAUUCUGCUUAGUUACAUCAAUGUAAUGUAUCUGACUUGAAUAUUAUUAGUUGCUUAG